ensembl:lncRNA
CGGAGGCCGGCGAGGAGAAGGGGCGGGCUUGUUUACGGCCCGACUGCGCAGGCGUGCUCACCUGGCGCGCUCCACGCGACGGGGCGUCCGCAGGCUCCUCCCCCCGCCUCCGCGCGACCUCGGAGCCGCGCAGGUGUUCUGGUGCGGGGCGUGCGGGGGUCGACGAGCGGGUGGAGGGGCGGACGGGCUGGCUGGACUGAACCGGCUAGCGGAAGCCGCGCCCGGGCUGCGGUCGGCGGCGCGGAGGGAAACUCGGGACGGCCUCCUCAGUUGCCUCGGGCCCUGCCCUGAGAGGUCCCGAGACCUUUAGGGGCUGAGGAGGGAGCCUCUUCGGCAGCCGGCAAGUCGCGGUCGGCGCGUGGGGCGCCGCGAACAAGCGCGGAAGCCUCAGUGUUCUGAGCCAGGGGAGGGCGCGGGGGAGCCCCGAGGCUGGCAGGGGGCGGGCCCCCCUGUCCUGAGCCUCCGCUAGGCUGCCCCGCGCGACCGUCUGGAUGCGCGAGUCGGGAAGCCCCUCUGCGCUUCCCAGAGUCCGUUUCCGACAAGGUGCCUCAAGAAGAGGAAAACAGGGACUUCCCUGGUGGUCCAAUGGCUAAGACACCUCGCUCCCGAUGCAGGGGCCCGGGGUUCCAUCCCUGGUCAGGGAACCAGAUCCCACGUGCUGCACCUGAGACCUGGUACAGCCAAGUAUUUCACGUCCACUGGGUUAUCUCCUUACCAUACCUGAAUUUUGAUGUGAUCAACAAUUCAGAAAGAAUCUAUAAAAUUAAUCUGAAGAUAUACAAAUGGCAACGCAGAUGUGUUUCAGCUGCUGUGGUAUACUGCAUCCCGUUAUUAUAAUCAAACUGUUUGUAGACUUCAUACAUUGGUGUAUACGUCCAUACUCAUUGAUGGAAAUGUGCGAG